UGUGUCUAAAAGGCAAAGGGUUUCAUUAAAACAAACAGGAUAUUUUUCAGAAAAACAGCAGAAUGAACUAAUUGGGCAUAAAGAAAACCCAGACAGAUAGGUUUUGUGAUGUAUAGUUUCAGUUCUGUCUUCUUUGAAAGGGCUUCAAACAGUGAAGAGCACUAAACUGCUAUCAGCAAUUAGCUAUCAGAAUGAUGAGGAGUGAGCUGUGAUUGAUGCCUGUUUUACUGCAGAAAAGGAUACCCCACUAACCCACUGUUUGCAAGUGUUCUUGAUCUGCUCCCACAGGUCUGAGAAACUCAAUCACUGUCAGCCUCUUCUUACUGCGCUUUCAUGGGAAUAAAUUCUAUAAAGUUUCAGCCUGGAGAAACCCCAAGAGAGGAUUAUUGCUCAGAGCUUUAAGGAUGGGAUCCAUGCAUACCCACAUAGGCUCUGAGCACCCUUACCCAUGUUGGCCAAGAGCCCGGUGAUGGCCUGCACGUCUGCCCCCAGGUACACAUCACUCAGUGUGGUCACCACAGGUAAGCACAUGGUGUGCACACGAAUUCGUCUUUCACCUGCAGGAAAAGAAAACCGUUGUCUCCCAACAUGCUUGUUUUAUGAAAUACUAAAAUGCCACUGUUUGCUCAACCUAGUUUAUCAUACAAAUGGUGAAUCAGGCCAUUUUCAAUAGCCCUUAAAAUGAUUAGUUCUCAGUUUCUGGGUUAAGCCUAUUUAUUUUCAGACCAAAACUAUGUUUCCCAAGAAACUUCUUGGUCUGAAAGAAGCAACAAUAUCAACGACAUAUCCAAGCUGUGAUCCUGAUAUUAAAUUAAGCAGUUUGAGUAAGUUACUGCAGCUGAACUGCAGCUGAUAAAUGGACACAAAGACUCAUGUGAACACUGCAGGUGACACCACCUGUACAACUUACCCUUGCUGGACGUGUACAGGAGAGCUGACUGGAAAGAAACAACUUGCAUAUCAGUCAGACUCUCUUCCACGGACAUUUGCACGGCGUAUCCCGCGUCUGGGUUCACGUUGGGUAAC